rnacentral:lncRNA from 10 species
ACCUGCCCUCCAGCCACUGCCAAGGCAACCUCGCGCGUGAGGCGUCGGGCGACCGAGCGCGCGGGAAGGGCGAGCGCUAUACGCCGCGCGGCUGCCUCGCCCUCUCUCCUGGUGAUAGCCAUUUGGCGUCUUCUGUCUGCUCUCGGUGCCUGGCGAAGCCCGAGUUGGCCCUGAGGCGUCUGCACGGGGAGGCGAGGGCGAGCAUGUUUGUUGUUUACCAAGAAUUGGAAAAAUAAGGGCCCGGACUCUUCGGACUCUCUGUACGGUAUUGGGGUGUGGGAGCCACCUCCUCCCCUGAAGGUCCCAGGAUACUCGCUGCCCGCACCCUGCGGGCUCGGCCGGACAUUCCUCGGAAACAGCUGCGUCUGUGUGAGAAAUGAGCGGAUUACCUGAGGCGUGGAGGGGUUUAGAGACAGCAUUUUGCCAGUCCACGACACUGAAGCGGGGCAAACGUGGGAACUCCUUACUGCCAGAAAGGUGAGGGAAUGAGGAGAUGCAGCAAGCCUGCUGAAAAGGCGGCAGACAUGCUGCGGGGCCAGCAGCCACGGGACCAGCAGCCACGCAGUCUGCCUUCGCAGCGUAGCUUCAUUCAUUCAUGCGCGUAGCAAAUAAGUAUUCAAUGCUCACCCUAUGCCAUUGUUCUGGGCGUCAAUGAAGGGAGUAUAAACAGCACCUGCUCCCAUGGAUUUGGAAGGAAUCUUUGCUACAAUAGCUAAUGAAGAUUGACUUGUGCUUCCUCAAGCUACUCUAUAACUUGUAUGCCCAUUGAUUUUAAUUGCAUUUAAGAUUCUGCAGUGCACUUAGUGGAUGUGCAAACGUUUUAAACAUAAAAUAGAGGUCACAGCCUAUUGACCUCUGUUCCCGUUUGCUUCUUUGGAAAAGUUUUUAGUUUUGUUGCUAUCUUGGGAUCAAAAAUAGUGUCCCCUCUUUUCUUAAUGUGCUUAUAAAUUAAUAUAAGUUCCCUUUUAUUGAUUUUCCAUUUCAAACAUAAAUGUUAACCAACAAGUAACAGUUUACACAUAGAUGUCUGUAUGCUGCUCUUUCUAGUCACAUCCAUUUAGCUAUAACAUGAUGAAGUCUAAUUAAUUGAAGCUUCAAUAAAUGGAAGGACCAGCUUAAAGUAAAAUAAGCCUGUGAAAAAUCUUGGCACAAUUGAAAUUUCAUAAAUAUCUGUGAAAGAUAAUUAGGCAUCUUAAAGUGAAAAGUCUUCAUUAUGAACUUAUUAAUGAAGAUGGAUGUUUUUGAAGUUUGAAAGAAUUCUUGUCUUAAGGUAGGGGUGUCCCCAAGGAGAGGGUAAAUUAUUACCUGUCAAAGGAUAUGACAAGAAAGUACUUACUGGUGAAUUUUCUGUGUUCGAAAGCCUGGCUCUGUAGAACUAGAAAUUGGUAUUGUAAGCCCAACAGUGGGUUCAUUUUUUAGAGUAGUCUCAAAUUUAUAAAUCUCAAAAAAAAGGAACUGUGUAAACUAGAAUAACAAUUUACUGAUUUUCAAGUAAGAAAUACGACAUGCAUUUAAUUCAAACUCAUGCAAAUAUUUAUGAAGCACCUAUGUCCAGGACACUGUGCUAUGUGUUGAAAAUUUGGAGUUCAAAUUUAUCAAGAAAGAUAUAUAUUGAAAAAGUAAAAGUAGGAUGGGUGUUAAGAAAGAGGAAGUAUGGGAGCUUGUAGAAGCACGCACGAGGUUUAUAACCUAGGUUAGAUGGUCAGGAAGAUCUCCAAAAUGAUUUUAUCUUAAGGGAAUGAGAAAUUAUUAAAAAGGCUUUAAAUAGGAAAUUAGCAUGAUCAGAUUUGUCGGCUAGAAUAUUUGUGUAAUCGGAAAGGGUAAUGUUUCAAGAAGUGUAUUAAUGUCACUUUCUGGGUAUACAACUUAAUCAAUCCAAGGCACCUUUCUGCUGAGGAUUUGGAUUCUUGUAUAAAAAAUACAAAAGAAAUAUUUACUUUUUAACUUUCGAUAUUAAAUAUAGGAUUUUUUAAAUCGAGUUUUUAGGCUUCAAAUCGAGGCAUUGUCAAGACAUAAAAUGUAAAUUUGUUUAUGGUUCAACAUAUCAAGGCUAGGCCUGGUGGACCAAAUGAUAGGGUUUCUCCCAUAGUAAAGACAAGGUAUCUUAGUCCAGUAUGAAGGAUUUAGUCAGAGAUUGAUAUAAGGAAGGUGGUGGCUAUGAAGUAGGUAAAGUAGAAGAAAAUCCUAUUCUCUUUGGCUUGGAGAAUUACGGGAAAGGGGUAGAAGAGCUCAAGAAAGACACCAGAAACAUUUUUACUGUUCCCACCCUGAAGAUGUAGGGUGAGGGGUUGUGGCUUUAGAAAUAUCCAGAUUGGUGUGGGAAAACUCAAGGACAGAGAAAUUACUUUCCCAAUUCUCAGAUAUCUGGGAAGAUAUCAGGCUGAGCAGGAACCACAUUCCAGUAACCUUGAACAGGGCGGAGACAGGGUAGGCAUUGACUUUCCAGAGUGCUGUAAGUUUCUAUGUACUGUUGAGACUCAGAAAACAAUACUCCCCUCCUCC